AUUGAACGCUGGCGGCAGGCCUAACACAUGCAAGUCGAAUGGUAACAGGAAACAGCUUGCUGUUUCGCUGACGAGUGGCGGACGGGUGAGUAAUGUCUGGGAAACUGCCUGAUGGAGGGGGAUAACUACUGGAAACGGUAGCUAAUACCGCAUAACGUCGCAAGACUAAAGAGGGGGACCUUCGGGCCUCUUGCCAUCAGAUGUGCCCAGAUGGGAUUAGCUAGUAGGUGGGGUAACGGCUCACCUAGGCGACGAUCCCUAGCUGGUCUGAGAGGAUGACCAGCCACACUGGAACUGAGACACGGUCCAGACUCCUACGGGAGGCAGCAGUGGGGAAUAUUGCACAAUGGGCGCAAGCCUGAUGCAGCCAUGCCGCGUGUAUGAAGAAGGCCUUCGGGUUGUAAAGUACUUUCAGCGGGGAGGAAGGGAGUAAAGUUAAUACCUUUGCUCAUUGACGUUACCCGCAGAAGAAGCACCGGCUAACUCCGUG
rnacentral:rRNA from 1 species